UACGGAGGGUGCGAGCGUUGUCCGGAAUCACUGGGCGUAAAGGGCUCGUAGGUGGCCAACUAAGUCAGACGUGAAAUCCCUCAGCUUAACUGGGGAACUGCGUCUGAUACUGGAUGGCUUGAGUUUGGGAGAGGGAUGCGGAAUUCCAGGUGUAGCGGUGAAAUGCGUAGAUAUCUGGAGGAACACCGGUGGCGAAGGCGGCAUCCUGGACCGACAUUGACGCUGAUGAGCGAAAGCUAGGGGAGCAAACGGG
rnacentral:rRNA from 1 species